UACGUAGGGUGCGAGCGUUGUCCGGAAUUAUUGGGCGUAAAGAGCUCGUAGGCGGUUUGUCACGUCGGAUGUGAAACCCCGGGGCUUAACUCCGGGCCUGCAUUCGAUACGGGCUGACUAGAGUUCGGCAGGGGAGACUGGAAUUCCUGGUGUAGCGGUGAAAUGCGCAGAUAUCAGGAAGAACACCCGUGGCGAAGGCGGUUCUCUGGGACGGUACUGACGCUGAGACGCGAAAGCGUGGGGAGCGAACAGG
rnacentral:rRNA from 1 species